rnacentral:rRNA from 1 species
AUACGUAGGGUGCAAGCGUUAAUCGGAAUUACUGGGCGUAAAGCGUGCGCAGGCGGUUCGGAAAGAAGGAUGUGAAAUCCCAGGGCUCAACCUUGGAACUGCAUUCUUAACUACCGGACUAGAGUAUGUCAGAGGGGGGUAGAAUUCCGCGUGUAGCAGUGAAAUGCGUAGAUAUGCGGAGGAAUACCGAUGGCGAAGGCACGCCCCCUGGGAUAAUACUGACGCUCAUGCACGAAAGCGGUGGGUAGC